CAGGGCUGAGUGAGCAGGGCUCCAGGCUGGCAUGCUUUCACUGCUGCUUACCACCACUGAUCUUGAGAUGUCAUUCAGGUUUUUCCAUUUUUCUUGUGUACAGAGGGGAGCAGCAGUAACCCACCUGUUACUUAUGAGGAACUUUCUGCAAAUAUAUGACAUCAUGGAAAUCUACCUGGCUUGCUCUGGAAGUAGUUCAGUGACAACAUGUAAAAAUCAGUCUGGACUAACAAAUAUUCAGGCAACUUCUGACCUAUACACAUCUGCAUCAGAAUUUCUUGGGUCAUGGUUUUCCAGUGUUCCAGCUUGUCUGUGAUAAGAAAAUGUUCCUUGUCUUUUUGGCUGGUUUGGCUCUGUUUCACCCUGACAGUUGGUAGGAAGAAAAUUAACCUGCCCAUCAGUUGAUGGAGCCAUCUGUUGGAGGAUUUGACAUCCUGUCCACCACAUAAGAAAGGAAUCAUAACUGUCCCCUCCAGGGAUUUUAGUGCCCUUCAACUGAAAGGUGCCCAUCAACUGAAAGGAUAAGGCUGCAUCUUGUACACCAUAGGAUGCCAAUAGCGCCCCCUCCAGUUACGACAACUAAAUGUCUCCAGACCUUGUCAAAUGUCCCAUGGGCAAAAAUCAAUUGGAAACCACUGCCCUAAGUGAUGCAACGGUAAGAGCAGCAGAGCUCCAACCAAGGUUUGACCACUGCAAAGUCUCUGCCAGCCUGCCUCCCAAGAGAAGACACUAAGCCACCUUGCAUGCUUCUUCUGUAGGCCAAGGGCCAAGCAGUCCUGGUAGGGCCCUCAGUACUCCGUCUCAGUUUGUCAGCAUUGCAGAAAGGAUUGGGAGAUUCUGGCAAAUGAUAAAGUGAGGUAAAGUGUAUCAGGUGCCAGCAUGUGGUGUUAAGUAUUAGGGUGUGUUUGAUAAAUGGGAAAAUUGUGUCUCUCCAGGAUUGAAAUGUUUAGUUAUUUUGACUGGUAGUGACAGUGGUCUUUUGCGAGCCACUUGAUAAAGAAA